rnacentral:rRNA from 1 species
GACAAACGCUGGCGGCAUGCCUAACACAUGCAAGUCGAACGGACAGAACAGGGAAGCUUUUCGGAGUGGAACUGGAAAGUUAGUGGCGGCUGGGUGAGUAACGCGUGGACAACCUACCUUGUAAAGGGGAAUAACCUCGAGAAAUCGAAGCUAAUACCCCAUAAUAACCUUGCUUCGCAUGAAGUAAGGAGGAAAGGCGGCCUUAGCGCUGUCGAUACAAGAUGGGUCUGCGUCUGAUUAGCUAGUUGGUGGGGUAAAGGCUCACCAAGGCGACGAUCAGGAGCCGGCCUGAGUGGGUGAACGGCCACAUUGGGACUGAGACACGGCCCAAACUCCUACGGGAGGCAGCAGUGGGGAAUCUUCCGCAAUGGGCGAGAGCCUGACGGAGCAAUGCCGCGUGAGUGAAGAAGGCCUUCGGGUUGUAAAGCUCUGUCCUUAUCGAAGAGAGAGUGUUGUAGUAACUGACAAUACUAGGACGGUAGAUGAGGAGGAAGCCCCGGCUAACUAUGUG